CGAGGACGAACGCUGGCGGCGUGCUUAACACAUGCAAGUCGAACGGUAAGGCCCUUCGGGGUACACGAGUGGCGAACGGGUGAGUAACACGUGGGUGAUCUGCCCUGCACUUCGGGAUAAGCUUGGGAAACUGGGUCUAAUACCGGAUAGGACCACGGUCUGCAUGGAUUGUGGUGGAAAGCUUUUGCGGUGUGGGAUGGGCCCGCGGCCUAUCAGCUUGUUGGUGGGGUGAUGGCCUACCAAGGCGACGACGGGUAGCCGGCCUGAGAGGGUGUCCGGCCACACUGGGACUGAGAUACGGCCCAGACUCCUACGGGAGGCAGCAGUGGGGAAUAUUGCACAAUGGGCGCAAGCCUGAUGCAGCGACGCCGCGUGGGGGAUGACGGCCUUCGGGUUGUAAACCUCUUUCAGCAGGGACGAAGGGUGACUGACGGCACCUGUAGAAGAAGCACCGGCCAACUACGUG
rnacentral:rRNA from 1 species